rnacentral:rRNA from 1 species
UGGCCCUACGGGACGCAGCAGUGAGGAAUAUUGGUCAAUGGGCGGAAGCCUGAACCAGCCAAGUCGCGUGAGGGAAUAAGGCCCUACGGGUCGUAAACCUCUUUUGCCGGGGAGCAAGGGCCGGGACGAGUCCCGGUCCGGAGAGUACCCGGAGAAAGAGCAUCGGCUAACUCCGUGCCAGCAGCCGCGGUAAUACGGAGGAUGCGAGCGUUAUCCGGAUUUAUUGGGUUUAAAGGGUGCGUAGGCGGCAUGGUAAGCCAGAUGUGAAAGCCUUGGGCUUAACCCGAGGA